AAUUUGGGGUAGUCCGUACAAGCGCACCCUUGUCCUUAGUUACCAGCACGUUAAGGUGGGCACUCUAAGGAGACUGCCGGUGACAAACCGGAGGAAGGUGGGGAUGACGUCAAGUCAUCAUGGCCCUUACGGCCUGGGCUACACACGUGCUACAAUGGUCGGUACAAAGGGUUGCCAAGCCGCGAGGUGGAGCUAAUCCCAUAAAACCGAUCGUAGUCCGGAUCGCAGUCUGCAACUCGACUGCGUGAAGUCGGAAUCGCUAGUAAUCGUGAAUCAGAAUGUCACGGUGAAUACGUUCCCGGGCCUUGUACACACCGCCCGUGGGGCGGGGGCGGCGGGCCGGGCGCGGG
rnacentral:rRNA from 1 species